rnacentral:tRNA from 2 species
GCCCGCGUAGCUCAGCGGAUAGAGCACCUGCCUCCGGCGCAGGUUGUCCCGAGUUCGAUUCUCGGCGUGGGCU